AGUUUGAUGCAAAUGUCAGAUCGUAUGCGCCUGUUAGGGCGCGGCUGGUAAGAGAGCCUUACAGGCGCAUCAGAAAAACCUCCGGCUAUGCCGGAGGAUAUU
rnacentral:sRNA from 1 species